GUGCUAGAGAUGGAGUGUAUUUGUGUUGGCAUUAAAAUGCUGGGAUGUAUGCAUUACCACACACUCAGAUGCACACUUACACACACUGACACAUACAUACACACACACACACACAAACACACACACAGGUACACAUACACACUGACACACAAGUACACAUACACAGGUAUACAUACACACAGAAACACUGACACACAGACAAACACAGCCAGAUACAAACACUGACACAAACACAGCCAG